GCCUACGCGCGGCUCCCCGACACACCCGGAUGCAGUUAUCGUGGCUGCUAUCAGUGAUGGACCGCAAUGGAGGGUGCCCUAUAGGUUUUGUCAUCGGGUGAAACAGGAACAAAUGUAGGUCUGCUGGGGUCUUGGCACAGUACCACAUGGACCUGGACAAAAGCAUUGUUAAGGUGGACAUUUUUAUUACACUAAUCAGUUCAAAUGUUUGACCAGUCUGUUUAGUUUUCUGAUACUUUAACCAAAUAACUAGAUGUGAGCUUCAUAUAGUGAUCUGUAUUUGUGGGAUAAUUCAUGAUCAGUUUAUUUCCUACCAAAUGUAAAGUUUGAUCUCAAAUAGUUAACUUUUUUGGAGCACUUACCAUUUGCUAAUCUCUGUGUUAAGUCCUAUACAUGCAUUAUCUCACUUAAAACUUAAAGUAACAUAUUAAUUAGGUCUCUUAAACUUCCUAUUUUACAAGUAGAGAAAUGAGGCAAAGAGGGAUUAAGAUCCUUGCCCCUGGUCCCAAAGUUAGAGUCAUGUACUUGAGGCUUUCCUUCCAUUAACUGAAGACUUAGGUAGAAGAAGAAUGAGAUUGGAACUCAGACCUGGACUCUUGUCCUACCUACUCUGCUUUGUGAAUUAGGGCAAGUCAUUUAACCUCUCUGAAUUUCAUUUUCCUCUGCUGUAACAGAUGAACACUUUGAACUAUUGUACUUUAUUGAAUACUGAGUCAUCAAAAAUCCUUAAAAGGGUGCCUUCACCAUUAUCUCCUGGAUUUUCUUCCAAGCCCCUGACACUCAUUCCAUAGGUUUUGAUGCACACAUGCUGGCAGUGACAGCUCUAUUGCUGCCUGGUCUGACCGCACUGUAAGAUGUGGCUGAUUUCAGAGAUGUCAGAAUGUAAAAUACUGUGCAUCUUGGAAUUGAUGACAGACCGUAGGUGAUCUCUGAGCUCCUUUUCAACCUCAGUUCUAUGACAUCUGUGACUUAAUAACAUUUUAUUGCUGGUUUAUGUAUUUUUUAAUGUAAAUGAUUCAAGAUAAAACAUAAGCUUCUUGGUAGUGGAAAAGUAAGAAUCAUGUCUGUCUUUUUCACCUCUGAAUCCCCAAUAGCUAGAACAAUGCCUAGCAUGUAGUAAAUGCUCAAUAAAUAUUUACUGAAUGAAUUAAGCAAAUCUUCAUUUCAUAUUGCAAAUACAACUUUUUAAAAAAUUGUGUUCUACUUGAAGUUGACGUAAAAUAUAAUAGUAUCAACAGUGCAAAAAUAUUUUGCUAACAUUUUUUUGAAUGCAAAAGUGCACUGUUAAAAAACAGUGGUGUUUCUUUCCAAACAUCUUUUCUGCUUACUGUUGUUGAUUGUCAUCAAAUGUGGAGUACAUUUUUAAAAAGAUUUUUUAAAAACUUUAUUGAAGUGUAGUUGAUUCACAAUGUUGUGUUAAUUUGGAGUAUGUUUUGGUCCUUGAAGAGGAUGAUAAAAAUUGAAAUGCCAACAUAGAGACUUUUUAACAAGGAAUCACAGAGAUCUUCAAUUUAACGAAAGUUGGAAAAUGUUAUUUCAUAUCUUUAUUAACUUUUUAUGAGUAUUCUGGAGGUGAUUAAGCAUGCCAUUCUUCCAAAUGU